rnacentral:rRNA from 1 species
AGAACGAACGCUGGCGGCAUGCCUAACACAUGCAAGUCGAACGCUCUUGGGGCUUCGGUCUCAGGGGGGUGGCGCACGGGUGAGUAGCGCGUGGGAACCUGCCCUGUUGUGGGGGAUAACCGAGGGAAACUUCGGCUAAUACCGCAUACGACCUGAGGGUGAAAGAUUUAUCGCUCUAGGAGGGGCCCGCGUCGGAUUAGCUAGUUGGUGGGGUAAAGGCCUACCAAGGCAGUGAUCCGUAGCUGGUCUGAAAGGAUGAUCAGCCACACUGGGACUGAGACACGGCCCAGACUCCUACGGGAGGCAGCAGUGGGGAAUAUUGGACAAUGGGGGCAACCCUGAUCCAGCAAUGCCGCGUGAGUGAUGAAGGCCUUAGGGUUGUAAAGCUCUUUCGCGCGCGACGAUGAUGACGGUAGCGCGAGAAGAGCCCGGCUAACGUCGUGCCAGCAGCCGC